UUCUUGGGCCCCCCGCACACCGCGGUAAUUCCAGCUCCAAUAGCGUAUAUUAAAGUUGUUGCAGUUAAAAAGCUCGUAGUUGAAACUUGGGCCUGGCUGGCGGGUCCGCCUCACCGCGUGCACUCGUCCGGCCGGGCCUUCCUUCUGAAGAACCUCAUGCCCUUCACUGGGCGUGCUGGGGAAUCAGGACUUUUACUUUGAAAAAAUUAGAGUGUUCAAAGCAGGCCUUUGCUCGAAUACGUUAGCAUGGAAUAAUAAAAUAGGGCGUGCGUUUCUAUUUUGUUGGUUUCUAGAGACGCCGCAAUGAUUAACAGGAACAGUCGGGGGCAUCAGUAUUCAGUUGUCAGAGGUGAAAUUCUUGGAUUUACUGAAGACUAACUACUGCGAAAGCAUUUGCCAAGGAUGUUUUCAUUAAUCAGUGAACGAAAGUUAGGGGAUCGAAGACGAUCAGAUACCGUCGUAGUCUUAACCGUAAACUAUGCCGACUAGGGAUCGGGCGAUGUUCUUUUUCUGACUCGCUCGGCACCUUACGAGAAAUCAAAGUUUUUGGGUUCUGGGGGGAUUAUGGUCGCAAGGCUGAAACUUAAAGAAAUUGACGGAAGGUCACCACCAGGCGUGGAGCCUGCGGCUUAAUUUGACUCAACACGGGGAAACUCACCAGGUCCAGAUGAAAUAAGGAUUGACAGAUUGAGAGCUCUUUCUUGAUUUUUCAGGUGGUGGUGCAUGGCCGUUCUUAGUUCGUGGGGUGACUUGUCUGCUUAAUUGCGAUAACGAGCGAGACCUUACUCUGCUAAAUAGCCAGGCUAACUUUGGUUGGUCGCCGGCUUCUUAGAGAGACUAUCAAGCGCCAAGCAGAACGAACGUUAUUU
rnacentral:rRNA from 1 species